UAGUAGUUUGAUGGAUCGAGAGAUGAAGAACGAGGAGUUGGACUUAAAUCUGGUAAAGGGACAAAUAAGGAUGUUGCGUAAGGAUAAUAACCCAUGGAGGGCGAGAGAGUCGUCCUUAUCUUCACAAGGCAAACAGAAGAGAUAGUCUUUCAUCACAAAGGAAGGCGUCGUGAACACAGUAUGUGGCUCGUCUGUAACUCCCGAAGGUGAUUACACCUUUAUGUGUACGGGGCGAUAUAGGGGUCUAGAAGACUGGCGUACACCUACA
rnacentral:ncRNA from 1 species